CCUCGCUUGUUCGCCUCGGAAUCUGUGCACGGGAAUUGCAACAGCCAAAUUAAAGCUUCAGAAUUCGCUUUCCGGUGGAGAACGACGGCCGCAUUCACGCCCAAUAAACCAGCUGGAGCCAGUAGAAAAGCUUACUUAUGUUUCUCGAUUCGAAAAACCAUUUUACAUAUGGAAGUAGAGGAACACCGGAAUUCGCCAUUGUUCGAGUUUCCAUCUUUUUCUCCAAGUAUGUUCUCUGUCCAAGGUUUUUGUUUAAUUGAUUUUGCUUCCGAACAACAUCAAUAGGCCUGAAUAUUCCGGUAACUGUUUUUAUGAUGUGGUUUGAUUUGGAUCUUAGAGCACGGAAACUGUUGAUUCCAACGUCACUGAUUGACCAUGUGGCUUGAUGUUGCCAUUCAAGCUCAUGGCUCCUACUGAAAAUUCGAGUCCCUUCGAUAAGCAGAAUAAUGGAAAUGAACCAGAAGUCUGUUUUAUCUAGGGGUAGAGCGAAACCGCCUAACAGCACGACUGUUGCCCAGAUAAACCCCAGAGUUCCCAGGCCGGUGGCUGUUUUUUCCAGCACCGCUAGGCGGAGGGCAAAGAGAGUUACCUUCUUUUCUAUUGCACAGAUUAGGGGCCUCGAUAGAGAAGAUUCGGAGUCCGUACUGCUAGUAUUACUCUCUCUAGUUUCAAUGCUGCUUUGGGUUCGCAAAAUGGUUGGACUGGAGGUGCUAGGCUCAUCAAUUUGCAAAUGAACACUCCCUUUGCCUUUGGCAUACUGCCCCUGAUCCAUCUGGUUGGAUCAAGUUACGUCACAAAUUUUCGGCAAUAAACCAAACAUGUGCAUACAACACCACGAAAACAAAAUCAGGCAAACAUACAGAGAAUGCUUGUCGCAAAGAUUUACACGUGGUGCAGCAAGAAUACCUGCAUCCGCAGCUCACCCCAGAUUCCUCUGUGUUCUUGAAUGAGGAAGAAGUUGUUACAGAUGAUGACAGUCAGGUUAGCUAACUUCGUGGGCCGUUUGUCCAGUACUAAUCAGGCUUCACAAGCUCAAGAAUUACUUAAAUGCUUGUUUUGGUUGGAUAAUCAAGAAGAAUGUGGUAGGUUGAGGUUUGAGUUGUGAGCUGUGAAGGGGAGAAAUUUGGAGUUGUGGUAGUAUAAUCACAAGGGUAAAAUGAUAUUUUCUGUUCUGUUCUCCUAUGAGAAUGGAAGGAUUUUUUGAUUGGGUGACGAAAAAUCCGAUAGUCUUGAGCUGUGAAGGGGAGAAUUGUGGAGUUGUGGUUGUAUAGUUUAAUAGAGGAAAAUGAGCUUAGGGAGCACGUUUAUGCCGUGGGAAUCAGUAGGAAAUCCCUAUUUUUACCCCAGGAAAUUUGUUUUCUGUUUUUCCUUUUGUGUUCCAUUCCCUUGACUUUGGGGAAAGGACUUCCCUUUCCCUCUCAUCUCUUUCUCAAGGUGUCAAGAUCUCUCUUUUUUUGUACCUUAUUUGUUACACAAAAGGCAUAAGCUUUCCACUUUUGUGUAGUCUUUUCGUCCCAUUUUUAGUUGGCUGAAACAAAACCCAACUGUGAAAUGUCAAUAUUGCCCUUUGUAGGUUCUCUUGAAUGACUUUACGCAGAAAGGGUAUAAAGUUCAAGUUAGAAAAUUGUCUGGAUCCUUUGUUGUUUAGUUUUACAGGCUUUGUAAGUUACUCUACUCUAAAAUUGCUUUUGGGAUUUCCAUAUUAUGGAAGCCACCUAAAUAUAGUCCUUAACGCAAUAGAAUUUUAAAUCUCCAAUUUGACCGAUAUAUGGUUUUGACAUUGAUACCAUUACGUAUCUUAAUACCAAUAUAUGGAUUUCGAAGUUGUAAUAGCUCAUACAUAUCAUUAAGAUAUGACUCAGCCUAAUGAUGAACUAUUGUCUAUGCAGAUACUAUAUAUGGAGGAUAUUUUAAUUCGGUAUGUUUUCGUGCCAUAUAUAAAUUCUACCUUGUUAUAGGUUCAAAAUGUGCAGUGGUGGCAACUUAGGUGGUUGUGGCUUGCAGUGGAAAGUCUUCUGAUUCUGUUAAGUUAAAGAAUAGAAUGGGUCCCUUGUUCCCUGCUCCAUAAUCGCUUUCGAGUACACGAAUGUUCUUCUUAGGUAACAUGAUGCAUAGCAGCACAUGGAGAGAGAGAGAGAGAGAGAGAGAGAGAGAGAGAGAGAGAGAGAGAGAGAGAGAGAGAGAGAGAGAGAGAUUUGCUUAUUGUCUAAAAAUAAACACAAUCAUCUUUGGAAUGAAAUGUCAAAUGUUUUUUGGUGUGA